rnacentral:rRNA from 1 species
AAACGACUCUCGGCAACGGAUAUCUUGGCUCUCGCAUCGAUGAAGAACGCAGCAAAAUGCGAUACUUGGUGUGAAUUGCAGAAUCCCGUGAACCAUCGAGUUUUUGAACGCAAGUUGCGCCCGAAGCCGUUAUGCUGAGGGCACGUCUGCCUGGGCGUCACGC